UACGGAAGGCAGCAGUGGGGAAUAUUGCACAAUGGGCGCAAGCCUGAUGCAGCCAUGCCGCGUGUAUGAAGAAGGCCUUCGGGUUGUAAAGUACUUUCAGUCGUGAGGAAGGUGUUAAGGUUAAUAACCUUAGCAAUUGACGUUAGCGACAGAAGAAGCACCGGCUAACUCCGUGCCAGCAGCCGCGGUAAUACGGAGGGUGCGAGCGUUAAUCGGAAUUACUGGGCGUAAAGGGCACGCAGGCGGUUAAUUAAGUUGGAUGUGAAAUCCCCGGGCUUAACCUGGGAAUGGCAUUCAAGACUGGUUAGCUAGAGUCUUGUAGAGGGGGUAGAAUUCCGAUGUGUAGCGGUGAAAUGCGUAGAGAUGUGGAGGAAUACCGGGUGGCGAAGGCGGCCCCUGGGACAAAGACUGACGCUCAUGUGCGAAAGCGUGGGGAGCGAAACAGGGAUUAGAUACC
rnacentral:rRNA from 1 species